UACGAGGGGGGCAAGCAUUGUUCGGAAUUAUUGGGCGUAAAGGGCGCGUAGGCGGUUUGACAAGUCUGAUGUGAAAUCUAUGGGCUCAACCCAUAGCCUGCAUUAGAAACUGUCGGGCUUGAGUAUGGGAGAGGUGAGUGGAAUUUCCGGUGUAGCGGUGAAAUGCGUAGAUAUCGGAAGGAACACCUGUGGCGAAAGCGGCUCACUGGACCAUAACUGACGCUGAGGCGCGAAAGCUAGGGGAGCAAACAGG
rnacentral:rRNA from 1 species